CCUACGGGUGGCAGCAGUGAGGAAUAUUGGUCAAUGGGCGGAAGCCUGAACCAGCCAAGUAGCGUGCGGGAUGAAGGCCCUACGGGUCGUAAACCGCUUUUGCACGGGGAUAACACCCUCCACUUGUGGAGGUCUGCAGGUACCGUGCGAACAAGGGCCGGCAAAUUCCGUGCCAGCAGCCGCGGUAAUACGGAGGAUGCGAGCGUUAUCCGGAUUUAUUGGGGUUAAAGGGUGCGUAGGCGGGAGGUUAAGUCAGCGGUAAAAUGUCGGUGCUCAACACCGGCCUGCCGUUGAAACUGGUCUUCUUGAGUGAGCGAGAAGUAUGCGGAAUGCGUGGUGUAGCGGUGAAAUGCAUAGAUAUCACGCAGAACUCCGAUUGCGAAGGCAGCAUACCGGCGCUCAACUGACGCUGAGGCACGAAAGCGUGGGGAUCGAACAGGAUUAGAUACCCUUGUAGUC
rnacentral:rRNA from 1 species